UUGUACCUGUGCAGAGUUAACAAAAAGUUGCAUCCACCUUGAUUAAUCAGUGCUGUAGGCUGAUGCUGCACCUGGUGAGCAGCUCAGAGACACAAAUCAAACACACCAUGCAGCAAGUGCACGCUACAUGCUGACAUGCUCACCUCCAGCCGUCAUUUAUGGGUGCACCGAGGAACUUUUACCUUCAGUGAGGUGUGCGAGCCUGAAAGGACUUGUUAUACUGGGACAGAGAGACUGAGUGGAUUGGUUAUAUUCUGCUUUGGGAAUGAACGAGCAGAGAGAUGGCGACGGACUCCGCGGUGCAAAAGGCUGUCAGAGUGAGUGAUGUUCAGACAGGGAGAGUUUUGUAUCAGGAGGCAGAAACAGGAACAGGCCUCACUCCAGCCUUCUUCUUCUUUAGAAAAUCAGCACUUUUCAUCCUCAUCUUCAGCAGGAAAGGUCUUUAUGUCCUGGGUCCGGUUGCACAAAACACCUUCAG